AAGCCCAAAGCCCAAAAGAACAACAAAGAGGCCGGCCAUAUAGGUGUGGAUUGGGUGAGAUAUUUAGUCAAUUUGUUGGCUAGGUUUUCUUUGAUAUAUAAGGGACUUUAUAUUGAUAUUUUCCUUAAGUUAUUAUUUUGGUGUUUAGAACAACAAAAGAGAAAAGAAUAUCUCUCCAAAAAACUAUACAAAGGGCCGGCCACCAAAAGAGAGUGUUUUAGCUAACAAUCUUUCACUCUUUUGGUUAUUCCUUCAUCCUUCUCACUAUAUUUGUGGGUGAGGAUCUUUAGAGGUUUCCUACUUUGGAAACUUGAAGAGAACCUAGGAGCACUCAUUCUAACAAAGUGGAGGAGGCAAGGAGGGAAGCUAGCAUCAAGGAUUUCAAGGAGCAAAGAGCUUGGAGGUGGUCCAUGCUUGGUCUAAAAUCAAGAUCAAGAGGUAUAAGACUAACCUUCACUUUGUUCUUGAUUCUAUAAAAUGUUUUGAUGCAUUAUAUAUAAACCUAUGAACUUUGAAGGGGAUUUGCAUGACUAGAGCUUUGAUAUUAUAUGAUAACAUGCUUCCGUUGCUCAUGUAUAUAAAUUUUUGAAUUGUAUAUUGCAUGCUAGUCAUCUAGAAAUCCCACAUGAAACUCAUAGAUUUCCCUUCAAUUGGUAUCAGAGCCAAAGGUUUAUGUAUAAUGUGUCCUUUUGGAUUUUAUGCAUAUGGGUAUUAAUUUUAUGUACGACAUAUAAUUGUUUCAUUCAAAGUAUGUUUAUCUUUUGUUUUUCAAAAGUUGAAAAAUGUUAAUCAAAAGUUGAGAAAGAUAUGUAUGCAAAAGUUGUUUUGUAUGCAUGAAUGAAAGAUGAGUUUUGACAUAUGAUUUCUUCAUUUAAAAAUAUGUUUAUCUUUUGUUUUUCAAUGGUUGAAAAAUGUAAAUCAAGAGUUGAAAAAGAAAUGCAUGUAAAAGUUGUUUUGUAUGCAUGAAAUGAAGAAUAAGUCAUGAACAAAUUUUAGGGUUUUGUUCUUUGUGGUUGGCACGUUUUUGGGGAAGUUUUGAGCAUAUGUUUGUGUUUUAUUGUAAGACACUCACACAUCAUUUCAAAGCUAGAAAGUAGAAACCUUGUCACUUUUGUUUUUGGGUUGGAAAAUUCAUCAAGAAUACACAAAUCUUGAAAAUAUGUUCAUGGUUUUGUUCUUGGUGUUCAUGGUUUGGUUUUGGGUGAAAGUGUUUUAUUUGGUUUUCUUGCAAAGUUUUAUGGUUUUGGAUGAUGUUCUUACCAUCCAUAAUCAUAUUAAAAACUUAUAAAACCAUAAACUAAUCUAAGAGAUUUCCAUCACCUUUUGAAAUAAAAUCAUUUAAACCAAAACCAAGUGACAAACUAAAUUAUGAUUUUAUUCUACUUUGCAUGAUUUAAGGGAAGAUAAGUGAAGACUUACCUUCUCCCCAAUUCAAGGGCCGGCCUCCCCUAGUGGUAUACCCACUUGUGGGGUAUUUUGUAAUUUGGAAAAGAUAUUUUUAUACUUUGAGUAUUUAUGGUUUGACCCCUAACUUUUUCAUAUUUGCAAAAAGGCCCCUACUAACUAGAAAGUUAAAAUAUUUGAUUUUAAUUUUGUUAGUUGUUUAAACUCAUAAUUAUAUUAUGCCCAUAUACACUAAAUCUAAAUGUUUAUGUUGCAUUCCAUUAUGAUUAUUUAAAUGUGUUUAAGUAAUUGUAAAAUGGAUGACUUUGGACUUAUGCCUUAAACGAUAAUUGAGCUAUGAGAUAAGGCGCUAAAAUCAAAUUGUUUGAACCUUGGGAAUGUGUUUUAAUUACUGUUUAAUUGGACCUUGUCACGUUUGACGUUAAUCUAUCUCUCCCUUUUUAGUAUAUGUAAUUUAUAGGAAUUUGUACAAAUCGGUUUGUAAUUCUUAUUACUUCUUAAUCUCUAUUCGUUAGUUGAUUCCCUCUAGUGUUAGACUAGAGUUUCUUUAACUAUUGGUAAGGAGACAUAACUAAAAGAGGGUUUUGACAUGAGAUUAAAGAUUAAAAGGGUCCAAUGCCCCAAUUAGCAAUGAAUGAUUGUCUUUCAUUUCUAAUGGCUCAAUGAAAAUGGUUUUAAUUGGAUUGAUAAGCACGUAAUUAAAUUGACACAACCUCCCCGAGUUUAUAUUCAACAAUGAUGGCUCGUUGUUGCAAUAACCUUAUAAGUCCAUGGUCAUCCAAGAGCCUAAGAUAACUAUAAAGUCCAAUUUCAAAGGAAUGCAAAAACCUUAGUAGUAGUAGUUACUUCCAAUAUUUUGAAAAAUGUUUUGAUAUUGAUUUGUUUUUCUCAAAACAAAUAGUGGGAGUAUCAUACGCUACUAAACUAUAAUGAAUACAAUUAGUAGUUACAUAUAUCUCCAAUAUUUUGAAAAAUGUUUUGAUAUUGAUUUGUUUUAUGAAAACGAAUAGUGGGGAUAUCAUAUGCUACUAAUUUCAUUAACUUUGGACUAGUAGUUGUAAAUAGGACAUUAUUUAUUUGAUUGUGAUUAAAUAAAUAAAAUUGAUGAGACCUUAAAAUCCCUCAACCACUCAAUAUUAAGUUGAAAGCGUAAGAGUGCUUAGAACACUUUUUCGUGGCCUUCCAUCGUGGUAGGCUCCAAGCGUUUAUGACUUGUACACCGCCUUCACCCUAUCAUGGGGAAGUGACAAAGUGCAUGCUUAUAUUCAGGAGGAGUUUAUUUAAAACAUUUGAUGAGGUUAAGGUAGGCAACGAGUAUGGCCAAUAUCGUAUCAUCGUGAGGUCAUGCUUGAACCCCUAGCUAAACCAGCAUGGUGGGAAAGAACUUAACUAAGAAACAUAAUGCCAAUAUCGUAUCAUCGUGAGGUAUUAUUUUCUAGAGGCCAAAAAGAUGGGUACUUGCAAGAGGUUGUUGCAAAUGAGUAAGCGUACUCUCUCAUUAUUAUUGUUGCUAGCCAUAUAUCGUAU
rnacentral:lncRNA from 1 species